rnacentral:lncRNA from 1 species
GUCCAGGAGGAUCGCCGGGUCUGCCAUGGAAUCCUUGUGACAUAUAGUAUUGAUAGUGUCAUCAAAGACAUCAAGAAGUUCUUGGCUGAGACCCAGUCAGAGAUUAUUAUCCUGGAGAUCCGCACUGAGUUUGGACACCAAGACCCACCUGAAUUCGAGAAGUACUUGGAGGAUCAGCUUGGCGAGUUUCUAAUCCACCAGGAUGAUCGUGUGUUCGGAAAGACAAUUGCAGAACUGUUGCCAAAGAGAAUUAUCUGUGUAUGGAAGCCAAGGAAGUCACCUCAACCGAAGGCAGGAGGGCCAUUAUGGAAUGCAGGGCACCUGAAAGAUAACUGGAUCGACACAGAUUUACCGUCCACAAAAUUUGAUAGCAACAUAAAGCAUUUGAGCGAGCAAGCACCUGUUACAUCCAGGAAAUUCUUUUACAGGGUCGAGAAUACAGUUACUCCACAGGCAGAUAACCCAGUCUUGUGUGUCAAACCUGUGACAAGGCGGAUCCAUGGAUAUGCUAGGCUUUUCAUAGCUAAAUGUGUCUCUCAAGGUUGUGCUGAUCGGCUGCAGAUCUUCUCAACAGAUUUUAUUGAUGAGGAUUUCGUUGAUGCAUGUGUUGGGUUGACAUAUGCAAGAAUAGAAGGGAAGGCCUGAAGAUAUUGCAGUGCUGUGUUUUUCUUCGCCUUGUUCAUUUUCUAGAAUCUCCCCUGUAGAAAGCAGUUUCCUUCCUUUCUGUUUUCAGCAGUUGUUCUGUGAAUUUGUUUGCUGUUGCACAAAUUUGUUCGCUUGCAAGAUAGGAUGUGUAGAGAUUCAUCAUAUGUAUUAAAGGGUGAGAGCACGUUUGUUUUGAAUAAAUCUUGUGUUAAUCUCUGCGUUCUUUUCUCAAUUUCAACGCUUUUCACAGGUUCCAUUACUGUUACAAAUUUCACUGCUCAGUGGAGAUUGGAAGAGCAGUAAACAAUAUCAAUUGUCUGCAUGUUACAAAUUAAAAAAAAAAAAUAGAAGAGAUCAGUACAUGAGAGAAGCAGCAGAUGAUAUAUUUUGGGAAUAAAUGUAUACAGUACCGGAUGGAAGAGCAAGAGAAGGCUCCUAUUCUCCAAACUUCAAGGGCAAUGCCCAACAGCAGGCAUGAAAUCUGAGGCAAUCAAAAUACCUGUGAAUUCAGGAAAGAUUCAAAACUUAUUGAUAUAAAUGAGAUUAGUUCUGCUAAAUGAUCCAUAAAAUUUUGUUAGUCCACAGGGCUAUGAAUCAAGUAUGCUGCCAGCUAGGAGAAGGCACCAUGCUUUCUAUCUAUAUUAUCAUAUAAACUUAGGCAUAUGUUCUUUGAGGCCUAAGUUUCAGAGUUCAUUCCAAAAUCAAGCUGAAAAGAGGAGCAAAAAGGAAGGGAAAGAGAAUACUUUUUUGUCCAAAAAUUUUUAAAAAAAAAAUCAGUAAGAUAUCGCCGAUAGAGUUUUCACAUUCCAACUUAUUAAAACUGAAUUCAAUCAAGUCCAUUUCAUGAUAGCCACAUGUUAUUAAUGGACCACAACACCUGUGAAUACAUGAAACACAGAUAAUAUGCAACCCCACCAUGUGAUUGCAAAGUUUCGAGAAAACACAGUUCCUGUAUCCUCAGGCACGUAUAGGACUCAAAAUUGGACACACUAUAUAAUAAGCUUGUAUUGGCAACCCUCCAAGCCUUGUUGGGACCAUGAUGCAUCACAUUUUCAUUGGCUGGUACAUUUCAUCCCUAUCUUAAAGCUUGUACUGCCCCAAAUCGACAAUCUAAAUUGACUAAGGCCCUAUCGGAGACCAUGAUAGAGCAAGCCACAAUUCCAAAAUAGGAAACUGAAAUGAGGUCUGAGAAAAUCUGAUUUUAGAAUCCACCCAAUGAGCUGGAACAUCUGCUGAUCUUUUGUAGAGGCGAGCUUGGAAUGGCAUAACAAAGCUAGGCUGGCAAUAAUAUCCCAUAUUGAUGGUGCAAUCUUCCUUAGAAGCUGUUGCUCUUGACUGAUGAAAUGUGGAUAGAAGAGUCACCCUCCUAGCAUAAUCUAUCAAGGGAAAGAGAAAUUGAGCAAGCUCGCAAGCUUCAGACUUGUGUUCCCAGAUAAGAGUACGACAAAUCUAAGAAGCCUUUUCUCUACAAAACUUAUUUUUUAGUACUUCCUCUAGUUGUUGGAAUAUUGACCAAAAAACUCCUGCAUCAAAAAUAGUCCACAACUUAAUAAAAUUGCUCUGAGGAAUAGUACGAAUAGAUGCAAAUACAAGAUUUUAAUAAUGUUGGCUCUGGCAGUAAAUACAGGAUCUUUGCCAUAUUUACGAAUAUAGCAUUUUAAAUAGGUAUUAUGACAUAACAAAUUUCUCAAUGUUCUAGGGAUUCCUGUUGAUAAUGAUUUUCAUUAAACCCCAACCAGACAAGAUAUAGUCAUUGAGAAUCUAGAAUUAGGUUUAAAGGCAUAUUUCUAGAGUUAACAUUCGGAGUUGAAAACUAAGAAGAAAACACACACACACACUAUAGAGCUGUCUGUUACAAUAGCUUUUUAUCGAACCAGUUAUCAAAAAUUCUUUAUUUGUCUAGAAUGGUAAAGAAUAUACAGUUUAAGUAGGAAAUGGUAAAUAGGCAGAUCAGAACCUGAGCCUGGGCUUUCUCUAUCUUUUAAUGAUCCUCUCACCAAAAGCGUCCCAGGAAUUUGCUGAAAAACCUAAAGAACAAAAAGGGGAACAGAUGAUACAAUCAAUGUAAGUUUUAGGUUUCUAACAAUAGAAGGCAUUGUAUUCAAGCCAACAAGGAGGUAUACCAAAAUGCGGAAGCAUAGUUCUUCAAACGAAGGGGGGAAACUUGAACCAUCGCAAAUCUCUUGCAUAUACUGGUAAUUGUUGAGUUCAUUGUAACCUUGCACUUCAGUCUUCAGGAUUGCAUUACAGUGAUCAUUUGAUAUAGCAACCUGUUAAAAUGAGAUUGUACUCCAUUAAGCACACAACAAUAUGACAAAACUGUAAUCUAUUGACAGUGAAAAUAUCUUACAUCAACUGUAAACGAGGAAGCAUUGGAUUUACAGGAUGCACCGAUAGUGCAGAAAAAGGACUCAACUGAUUGUAGCACAUUUAUGGCACUAAAUUGGCGUUGAAGACCCUUCAGAAGCAGAGGUUAGAGUGAGAAAUUGCAUAUUGGCAGGACCAAGCAUAGCAAAUGAAGGGUGUGAAGAUAUAAAAUGAUGCAAUAGAAGCCUGUGAUGGACUGGUGAUUUAUCUUACCAAUAGUCCCAACAUAAAACAUCCACCUAGAUGCAGAUCUUGAAAUCGUAAAAAAUGAGAUGUUAAAAAAAUGUGACCUGAUUGGUGAAUCUAAGAGAAGAUGAUAUUCAAACCUCAAGCAUGAAAGACUGAUUGUUCUUCUUGGCUACAUGAGGCAAUAUCAACUUCCUGGCAGAAGGCACAAAAGACCAAGCAAUCCCCCAACGACAUGUUUGGCCUUGGACAAAUUCAGUUGUCUUAACUAUGGUCACUCCAACAUUCCGAAGCUUUGAUACAAGGAUCUUCAGGUUUGUUUUCUUCCCAACCAUCGAAGUGUACCACCUACAACCAAUUUGUAAUACAUAAGGGCUAAUUUCAUGGAAUCGAACAUUGAAAUGUGAGAUAUAGUGAAAACAUGGUGUAGAAAGGAUAGGAAAGAUUGUGUCAACAUUACACUAAAACAUGUGCAGGAAGGAUAAGAUAGAAAAGAUUACUUCAACAUUACACAAAAACAUGUGUAGAAAAGGAUCAUACCGAAAAGAUUGCUUCAAAAUCACACUAUCGUCAAUGAUACGUGUUAUAAAAGCCUUCUCUCCUCCAGGGCAAACCAUCUCCUCUGGGGUCCCCCCACAUGAAGUUUUUGGGUUAAGUCCUGCUUCCUCCAUGGUCUCAAAAAAUGGAGGAUUACACAUACAGAAGUCAAGAUUCUCACCAUCCUUCAGGAUGCCAAGGAGCACAGGAGGCCCAUGAUAACUUUUAUUUGAACCCAAAUCUGCAUCAAGUGAACAUGAGGGCAAAGGCUCUGUGUCCCCCGCAUUAAUUCCACUUAAAUCUUUUUCACCUUCAACAAUGAAUGACUCACCAAUAUGCAACCCCUCCCCAGAAGGGGUGCUGCCAUCACUUUCAACCUUUCUAAUUUCAAUUAAUUCUGAAAUAUGCGGAUUACUUUUAACAUUCUUCUCUGCCCACUCCAGCGCUACAUCUGUCACAUCUGCAACCAAGAUUGCAACAUUGAAUACCUAAUUUUUAUGCAAGAAAUGAACAAAUUGGUAAGACCUGUGUAUAUGAGAACUAAGACUGAAACUAAAAGUGCUACCUGUCCCAACAAAGCUCCAUCCCAAAAGAGAUGCACCAAGAAGUGGGUAAAUGCAAUUGGCUCCAGUUCCAAUGUCAAAACCCCUCACAUUAUUUCCAUCAGUGCUUGUCUUAGGAAUAAUGUCAGAAGACAGAAGAUCUUCAAUCCAAUGGAUAUAGUUUGAUCUGUUUGGAACUGUAGGGCAAAGCUGCCCAUCAGGAAUCCACCUGCACAACUCAUAUUUUCACUAAAUCAACCACAAACACAUAUCCCAUUAACACAUAAGCCUGAACUUUGGAAAUUUCUAUGACAAAAAGCUUGGCGAAUAAUAAAGACCUAAUCUUCAUAUCACAAAACUGAAAAAUCAUGCCCUCCUCUUAAUGAGAUUACACAUCUCUUCAAAGCCAAAUAUUCUAAAUUUCAAACUGAAAUUGUCAACCCUAUGAUAUUUUCAAUAUAAACGUUUAAAAAAAUUAAAUAAAAUGAAAGAACAUUUAAUGUAAGGGAAGCCCAUCAGAAGACAAGACACACUAAAUAAGGCAUGCCCUCUCAAGAAUUUUAGAUACUUUACCUUAUCAAGUAAACACUAGUGGUAAUGCGUUCUUCACUCUGUUUGUUUCAUUGGACAAGACUUUCAGGGAAUAUUUCACCCAUCAAAAAGACUAAUACCAAGUGCGUAUAAAUGCCUUACUUCAGUAUUGAACUGAGGAGACAUUAAAUUUCCCAUUAUCAUUAAAUUGGAAAAACCAUCAAGAUAACCGAAACCUCAAAAAAGUCCUUGUUUUUUUUUUUCAGGAAACCACCAUUAUCGAUUGAAACAAACAACUAAGAGAUCGAUUUGAAAGUUUCCUGCAAAAGUUUUCUAAUGAUGGAACACACACUCCAAACAAUUAGCCAUUUGAUAAUUUAUGGUACUAUAUGUGAAAAUUAGGAAAAACAAAUUAUAACCCUAAAAUCAGAUCUUUCGGCAUUGAGUAAGUGAACCUAGUACUAACAUGAAACCCCAACAUCGAAAACUUUUCAUUUCCCUUCCUCAGUUUUCUCAGAAACCAAACAGGUUAAGAAUUACAACUUUACGAAAAUUUAUGAUUGAAAAACAAGAUUUAAAAAACCCUAGAAAUGAGGAAAACAAAUCAAAACCCUACUACCCUAAAACCUUAACAAGCUGAGGGAAAUUACCAAUUUAGGCCAUGGUCGUGGAGGAGAAGCACUCGGGUCAGCUCUCGGGUGGCGUUGAAAUCGGUCCAAUCGAUUGUGGGUCGACCAGCGCGGUUCAAGAAAACGAAGGGCUUGAAGGAUGGGUAGAGGGAAGCCAAGAGGGCGAAAUCGGGCGGGUUUUCGGAGUACUUGUUUCUGGGAUGUAUCGACGGCCGCUCCACUCUCCUCCUCUUCUUGCCACCCAUCUCUGAUUCGAACCGUAACAAACCGAAAAUCGGAAAUUCCGGACGAUACUCAGCGGGAAAUUUUCAAAUUUUUCGGCCGGUUCGCACCCAAUAUUUGAAAUUUUCAGGUUGUUCUGGAGAAGUAACGUAAGAAAAACCAGAGGUUAUUGAAAAUUAUCGCAUAGAAAUUAUAUUCAAGCCCAAGCCCAAGAAUAGCCCUGGGCCCAAAAAAUUCUUCGAGCUUGGUUCUACUUCUGCCUUUGGGGUUGAAUUGGGCCGAGUUUUUCGGCUUUUGGGCUCAAAAUAGCUUCCCAAAUUAAGUUGGAUUUUUCCACUUGUUCUAUUUGAAAAGUACUCUGGUCUAAUUAUCUAUGUGUUUGGCAAUGUUUAUCAUUCUUUAAAAAUGAUUUUUAAAAACAGUUUUUAAUUAUUUUCAAAAACAAAAUUAUAUUUCAAAACUCAAAAUAUGGAAAACAAUUUUCUUCAAACUACUCUCCAUCUUUUCAAUUAUUUGUCAGGACGUUGUACAAAAUUUGAAAACAUCUCAAUUUUAUUCAUAAAAGUAAUUCAUUAGAAGAAAACUAUUUUCUAUUAAAAAAAAAAAGUCAAACAUGCUCUCUAAUUUGAAAAACAUUAUUUUUCAAGAAUUUGUUAUAUUGAGAAUUAUAGGAUUGGACUUUUACCAUCUCAUUUGAAAUGUCAAUUAUGAUAGACCAAACUUUUUAUGGCAUAAAACAUUACACUUGGCAGCCCUGUUCUAAAAUGUUAUGUUUUUAGUUUGAAUUCCUUGUCAAAAAAACAAGAAAUUCUUGUAAAAAAAAAAAAAAAAGGUAUUAUUUCAAUGUUUUAUCCAUAUAAGAAAUCAAGAAAAAAGUGACCCCAUAUUUGAAAUAAAAUCUGCUUUUGUAUCCCUCCAUUUGCAGAUAAGACUGACAGGUUUUUACAAUAGUUGAUGUGGAUCCUAGUCAUAUCAGAUAAAUAUUCUAUAAAAGAAAAAAAAAUUCCCAUUUACACAAUGGGAUCUCCAUUGAUUUGGUAUGUCCCACCAUGGUCUUAACUUCCAUAACUAAAAGUCCCAAAAGUUAAAAAUAAAAAUAAAAAUAAAUAAUUAAUUAAAACAGGCAUUAAAAAAAAUUUAUGCAGGUGUCACCACUAAAGGAUCAUGUUUUUAACUCCAAUUUGUUUUUCCUACAUUAAAUUGGUUUCCUUUUCUCUUUCUCAAUCAUACCAUGUUGUUCUAUUUAUCCUAUAUAUUUAUUUUUUUUGAGUAUUUUUGCUAUUAAAAUUAAAUCAAUUUUAUUACACUGUCAUACGGAAGAGAUGACGUAAGAAAAUAUCAAAGACUUGUCAACCUUAUCCCAAUCCCACCAAAAAGAUAAAAAUUAAAUGGAUAUCGAAAAUCUUUCCUACUUAUUUUAACCCGUUGAAAUAAAUAUGAUUUAUAAAUAAAUAAAUAUUAUAUAUUUUAUAAUUCUUUUUUAAAAUGUGUUUUUUUAUUUAUAUAGAUUAAUAAAAUAAAAUAAAUUUUUUAUUUAGAGGAAAUUUGUAUAUUACAUUGGGUUAAUUACAAAAUUCAAAAUAUUGAAUGAAUCUAAUUUUGAAUGUUUUCUUGAGGAGAAUCAUUGGUAUUGUCACCACCAUCAAUGUCAUUUUCUGCUUUACACAUAGCUGCUUUCUUUUGUCUUCUUAUCCAACCUUUUCGAAUGACACAGCUGCAGUAGAUAUGUCAAUGGUGACCAGUGAAUUAACUUCAUAGAAAUCCAUGGAACCAUGGAUGAUCAUUCAGAGAGAUUCGUAAAGUUGGGGAGGUGGGUCCAUGGCCAGAAGUGUAAGAGCCUAUCCACAUGAAGUCAUGAGUUGUGUGGUGACUCAGCAGAGUACAGCAUCCAAUGGAUAAGCAUUUGGAAUCCCUUGCUAGUUUCAUUAUCCCCUGGUUUUUUCUCUCUCCCUAUAUAUAGGCAUGGCCUCAAGCACCCACCGUCACUUCCCCAUUCUCUGUGAUUUCAUCCACCCAUUGCCCAUUUCUUGGUUCUUCAUAAGAUUUUGUCCACCUCUACAUUCAGCUCCGGUAACUGAACUGAUCAUACUACUGAUAAUUUUUGUGGGGCUAUUCAUGGCUUCGUCUUCAUCGCUUUAUGAGGUUCUUGGGAUUCCGGUGAGCGCCUCCGGGAACGAGAUAAAGGCGGCGUACCGGAGGCUGGCGAGAGUGUGCCAUCCGGAUGUUGUAGCGAUGAACCAGAAGGAGACUUCAGCUAACGAGUUUAUGAAGAUACAUGCAGCCUACUCCACCUUGUCGGACCCUGAUAAGCGAGCAAAUUAUGACCAGGAUCUUUUCAGGCGGCGCCGGCCGGUGAUGGCCACCGCCAUGAGAACCGGCGGUUCCUCUUUUUCGGGCUUUUCUCGCCGGACUUGGGAGACUGACCAGUGCUGGUAGCAGCACACGGCUAUUUUUUGUCUUAAUCAUUUGUUUGUUUUAUCACCAUGUUCAUAGUAGAAGUGAUGGAGCAGAUAAAAGAAGGAAAUUCAAAAAUUUGAAAACCUUUUUGUCAUAAGGUUGAAUUUUCUUGGUUCAGGGUAAAAUUUUAUUAUUACCCUUUCUAAAAAUGUUAUUUUUCAUGUUCACGUGUGUGUAUGCAUGCAUGUCUAAUUGUUUCUUUUUCUUUGUCUUGUCGCUUUUAUAAUAUGCUUUGUAAAUUAAUUAUAUGUCCGAAAUUUAAGUAGCACUUGAUUAAUCAGAGUGGUUACAAUACUCGAUAAAUUUUAUAAAAAUUUUGAGUGCGUUUGACAGUAAUUUUUAUAGGUGUUUGUAGUCUUUUUUAUAUUUAAAAAAUAAAAAUUUUUAAAUAUUAAAAAAAUUAAAAACAUUUUUCAAAAUCACUACCAAACGCUCCUGGUACUAUCUCAUUCUAUGAUUUCCAUUUCCUUUGUUCUUUAAUCUAUUGUCCAUAAAAAAUAAAGAGUGGUUACAAUGACUAGCAAUCACACUAUCACAGCUUGUGGAUAAGGCUGGUCACAUGGCAAUGUUUGAAAACCUUAAAGAGGGUGUUACUUUAAUGGGAUGAACUGGCUUUUUAUAAAUCAAACAAAACAACUAACGGUCUCACUCUCGGGCUAGAGUAACCACCAAUAACUAAUAGUCUCCCUACUUUGUGUGAACCUCAAAGAUAACAAAGAACCAAAAAAAUCUUCUCAAAAUUUUGUCCUUUAGCCACCAACUACUAGUCUCCCUCAUAUUAUAUGACAAGUGUUGUAAUAUGUGACUCUUAUUGAGUGAAAGAUAUAUGAAGAUAAAAUGGGCAAAUACUUGUGCGGAGCGGAGCGAAUGAUUAAUAUAAAUACCCUUUUAUGUAACCCUAAUUUGAGUAUCAUGAAAGUCUUCUUCCUUAUUCCCGUAUAUAUAGACAAUCUAUCAAACCAAGUUAAAUCUGUAUGUUUCUGUUUUUGUUUUUCUUUAAUUUUUUGUCAGGAAUCGUUGCAUGAAAAUCAACAAAAAGGAAUACACCGAUCCUUUUAAACUAUUGCUCAAUGGUAAAGUAACAAUUUUAUUGGCAUACAUCUAACCAUCUUUGAACUUUAUGGUGGUGAUUAAUUAAAGGCGUCAAGUUCAAGUUUUUAGUAAUAAUUUUAUUGAUAUAAAUAUGGUGAUCUUUAUAUGAUUUUAGGUCGUGACAGAGAUUCGUGUUUCAAUCAUGUUCAUGGUCAUAUGGAUUGUUUCGUCUUUGUUAGUUAAAAACUCACAACACAUCAAUCCAUCAACCUAAAACCUUGCUUUUAAGUAAAUUCAAAAAGACGGUAUAAAGAUAAAGGGUCCAAAUUCAGUGGUUUGGAGUUUUAGGUGGAGGUUAGCAUAUGGGUUUGUCUUCACCAAAAGUGAACCCAAUACUCAAAAUUUUCAAAUUAAGAUGAUUACCCAAAGGGAAAGCACUUGGUUUUAACAAAAUUAAGCACUUUUGGAUGCUUGUUAUCCAAUUUUCAUUGAUUUAUUGCAACAAAACAUGUGGGAGACUCAUGAUUUGGGUCAUUUCAAUGGUCCUUAGGUAUGUGAUUUGUACGCCAAUUGAGCUUCACUCCACCUAGAGGUGGUUGUAUGCCUUUUUUUUUUAUCAUCACACAGAAUGAUUGGUUUCUGUUUGUCAAAAUCAAGCCCAUUGUUCAGAUGCCAAAACCCGACCCAAGCCCGACAUGAAAAUUUGGGUUUUGGCCCAUCUUAAUGAAAGCUUCAACCCAAGUUCAAAACAAGCCCAGCCCACUUUCCAUAUCAUAAACAUUACAAUCUAGAAGUAUGGGCUAAUUGGAGGAUCCUCAUCCAACUAAGGCCUUCUGUGUCUCUGUGUGCCUAUCAAAGACUUUCUCUUGGCUUUUUCACUUUGUCAUCUUUAAGAGCAAACCAAACUAGAAAAAUGAGUACUCCCUUUCUAGUGAACCAAACAAAAAAUAAGGUUCCACCAUUGAAAGUCUAUUAAAAGAACAGUGUGGCUUCUUAUGAAAAAGUUUGUGUUAUGUUUGGUUUGUUAGAAAAGUUUAUACUAUGUUUGGUUGUUAGGAAGUAUUAAAAAAAGAAAAAAAAUGUUAAAAAGGAAUUAUUUUCUUAUAUUUAGAUACCAUUAAAAAAAAUACUAAAAAAUGAAGAGUGAAAUCAUAAAAGAUUUUCCUCCCUAUUUUUCUUGGGAAAAUUUUGAGAAAAAAAUCAUUCUUCAAUAAUCCAAAUAAAAAAAUUAUAAUUUUUUCUUUUACUUUUUUUUUUCUUUCUAUUUUCUUUUACUAAAUUUUUUUGAGCCUAAAUGAUAACAGGGAAUAUUUUAAUUGGGUUUUCACAUUAGCUUAUGGAGUUGAUAAAUAAUAAUGAUGAUACAAAAAGGUGAUACAAGUAACAAUUUUCUUGAUUUAGUGAUACGUGAGGGAAAUUUGACUUAGAUAUGUUGCAUUGGAUUCUAAUAUUGUUCUUUGGAAAAAAGACUAUUGGUAAAAAAAAAAAAAAAAAAAAAAAACAUAUAUAUAUAAAAUUUCUACAUGUAUGGAUGCCAUAUUUUUUUUUUUUUAAUAAAAAAACUUGUAAAUAAAUAAUUGAAUAAUUUUAUAUUUUGUAAACUUAUGAACUAUAAAAUUUCAUAUAAAAUAUAUUUUUUUAAAUGAUAUCAUAUUUUUAUAGAAACUUUUAAAUAAUAAAUGAAUGGUUUUUUAUUUUAUAAAUUUAUAAAAUUAUACAUUUUCACAUAAAAGAAUUUUAAAUUUUUUAUGCAUUUUAAAAAUAAAAAAAAAUAUGAAUAAUUUUAUUAUUUUUUAUAUAUUUUUAAAAUUACAAAUUUUUACAUAAAAGAAUUUUUAACAUAAAUUCUAAAUUUUUAUCAAGAAAAGUUGCUUUAAAUCACAUUAAAAGAGUUUUUUUUCUUUUUCUUUUUUUAGGCUAUAUUAUAAGAUAUAUGUAUCAUAAAAUAUCAUCUCCUAUAUAGUAUAAUAUCUUUGUAUAUUACAUUUUAUGAAAAUGAUAUCUUAAGGCAUUAUAUUCAAUGGAUUAUGUUAUACCAUGCUAAUAUUUAAUUUAUAGAAGGAACAAAAAAUGAAAUAGAAAAUAUAUUACAUUUCAAUAUUUCAUAUUUUUAAAAUAAAAUAAUAUUGUAUUCUAAUGUUUAUUAUUAAAAAUAUAAAAUCUAUCUAAUAUUUAUUAUUAUUUAGAAGUUAGUCUAUUUUUAUUUUUUAUUUUUAAAUAAUAUUCAUGAUUAAAAGAUUUAAAAUUUGCAAAUAAAAAAAAAUCCCCUUAUGUUGUUAAAUAUAUAAAAUUAUUUUCUAUAUGUUAAAUGUUCAAUUUGAUAAUUAUUUUGGAUUGCUUAAUAUACAUACUUUUAAAUUUUUUAUUCCUUUUUAAAUUAAAAAUUAUUUUUUAAUCAAAAUUUGUUUUGCAAAUGGAGUAAUAUAAAUAAUUUGAAAAAUUGAUGGAAAUAAAUUUACGACGGAUAUGAUAUGUAUACACUAGAUCUCUUAAGAUUAUUAUACUCCCCAAAUAUGAAAAAAGAGGUUAGAUAAAUUAUUUCAUUAUUUAUUAUAUUAUAUAUUUAGUUGAAUAUGAAAUAUAAUAACUGAUGAGAUAACUUAUCAUCUCCUGUUAUAUAUAAAAUCAAGCAAUUCAUCCUCCAACCAGCAUGUGGUGACCCACUCUUGUUGUGACCCAUGAGCAUGUUUUAUCCAAGGCGAUAAGUUUACUUGAGAACUCUGCCACGAGUCGUCCUCCACCCAUGCACGAGGCACGAUGGCGGGUGGGGUCCUCAGGGCCUCCCAAAUUGGGGGUGGAGUGGCGGUAGAUUGUCCACGUCAUUGCAAUCCGAACACUUCAAUGGAUCAUUCAAUUGGUAGGAGCGACAUACAGUGUGUACAAAGGGCAUACCUUCAAUGUUAAUAUGGCAUUCAUGGCCCAAUCUACAAGAAGUUUGAAGGUCAUAACUCACAAGGCUUUUUGUAAUCCAAUACAAGCAGGGCUGCAAUUUGGGCCUGAACUGGAGACUUGAAGUCCAGAUCAACAGACCCAGUAAGGUUUGCCCAAGUGGGCUCACUCUUAGCCCACUGAAUUGUGCUAUUGGACGUAAUGCUCUUUAUGCUGUUUUGGUUUCUCAAGAAUAAAAAUAGAAAUUAAUAUGAAUUUAAUAAUGAGAUCCAAGUUUUGAUUUUCAAGAAAAUAAUUUUUUUAUUCCUAAUUAUCUCAACCUUCAACGAUAUAUUUGAUACGUGGAAAUAAGAAUGAAAAUAGGUCAGGAAUUAAGGUGAAUUACUAUACCAUGUAAAAGAGAGGAGUAAAAGUGUCUAUGACAACGAGAUUUGGUUUCUAUACUGAUAAACUUCUUUUCGUAUUUUCAUUCUAAAACAAUAAUCUAAAUACAUUAAUGAAUGAGAACGCAAUUGGUUUCCAUUUUCAUACUAAGUUGAAAAGAAAUAAAAUCUUCAAGAAACAAUUGGUUUUUUUUUCCCUAAAGAACAAAGGCAAAAGAAACAAAAAUUUUAGAAGAUUGCUUUUACCAUGUUUGGAGGCUUUUCGGCAAAAGUUUGGAGCAUUUCAAGCAUUUUCUUCUGGUAAGUCCUAGCCACACAAAUUCUCCCCCUUUCCAAACAAGCCAAACUAUAGUAAAGGGAGUAAAAGCAUUGGAGCUUUCUCUUUGCUUUCUAGUGAACCAAACAAAACUCUGAUCAAAACCCUAAGAACAAGAUGGAGAGAGAAAAAAACCUCGAAACUAUAGACAGUGAAAACUCAAAAAUGUUCUUGGGGACCACGAUGGUACACCCACUGACUCAUGUCUGCUCUUUCCUUUCCCUCUGAAAGUCAGAUAUUUUUGAAAAUAAAGCAAGAGAAAUAAUUAAUAUUAAUACUUAUUACAGCCUUGAAAUGGAAGGGAAAAGUAUCAUAAAGUGACGUGGUGAUGAGGAUAUUAAGACAAGGGUGUUACAAGGAAUAAUUGAAAAAAGUUGUAAACCCGGAGCUGGUCCAUACGCAUGAUGACAGGAAAAGGAGGGGUUAAGAGGUGUGUAAUCAUGGAGUCAGGUUAGAGAUAAGGCAGGAGAAAGGUGGUGAAAUGGAUCGCUUGUACCCCAUGGCAUUGAAUUCUUGUUGGAUUAUCCUAGUUUUGUCCUAUCUUCGAAUCUUCACUGCACUUUCCAUGGAUUCCUGUUGAGAAUAAAAAAAAACAAAUGAACCAAAUCCGGGAAACAGGAAAAGUUCCAUCUCCAUUUUCAAAGUUGAAUCAUUCAUCACCAUCCUCAUUUCAUCAUCCUCUUUUCUUUUACCUUCACCUAAACACACCCGUGACAAUCCCUCAGGAAAAUUCUGGUUUUCACAGUGGAUGGUCCACUUAUGCAUGAUUCAUAAUUUUUUUCCAUUUAUAAUCUAAAAUAUUUAUAAAAAUAUACCAUCUUAAUCAAUAUUCUUUACAAAAACGAAUCUUUAACGUAUAUUUUAUGUGGAUUUGAACGUGUUCAUGGUCUUCAUUUCAUGUCUUCUUUAGCCGAAUUUGACCACACUUAGUUGGAAAAAUGCUGCUAUACUCAACUCCUUGGUUUUACCUUUUUCUUUUUCGUGGGACACAUGGUGGAUGGAUUAGUUUAGAUUCCCAUCCCAAACCCCAAAACUUCAGCGUAAAAGAGGCUUAAAAUGCCAGUGGGACUAAAAACUAUGUUGGCUUGUUGUUUCCUGGCACUAGACUUUUUCAGACAAGAUGGAGGGCCAGUGUAUUUCACUCAACUAGCAUCCAAGUCUUGACCUGUCCUUUUCUUUUCUUAGGACAAUUUUUGUGGUGGUGGAGAGGUGGGGAGAUUGGGGGACCAAGGUCCUCGCAAAGCUGAAAUUACCACAUGAACUGAGGCUGACUUGUUGGUUAAUUAAAAUCUGGACCCCCCAUGUGAUAUGCAGCAUUUGAUAUGUACCUGCAGGGGCAUGUACCUGCAUGACCCAUUAAUCCACACAUGGAAGAAAAUGGCAGUUACUAUUAUAGGCAACUGCUUUGAAGAACCUCCACCAUACUCACAAAAGCAUCCACUGAUCCCUCAAUGCUUGCAUGGACCGACAAAAUGAGAAUAACAGGCAUCAUCAGAGUGUUACAGUACUAUUGGCUUCAUGAUCUGUGGCCAAGCUCAUCCAUCCAUUAUUAGGGUUUGAAACAUGCCAACCAGAUAGGUUAUGUCAUUGAUCGGUGGUAUGUACUAUCAAAUUAGUAUCGAUGAGCGUAGGAAUGACGCCGGUUGAGCAAGUUGCAGGCUUGACAAACUCAUGAAAUAAGUCAUAUGCUAGCUUGGUGAAUAGUUGCUUCUUCAAUGGAGCUAGGCUAGUGUCCAUUUUCAAACAAUACUUAUAAUUCUCCCAUCCAAGAACAGUUGUCUCUUUAUCAUUUCCAUCACUUAAAGACUGAAUUUCAGAAGUAAGAAGGAAACAAAAUCAAAGUGUCAAAGAUAAUUUAUUAGAUCCUAGUAAUGUUAGAUUUUAAGAACUUAAAUUCUUUUUUGGACUCGAUCCUUUCCAACAAAUGACAUGUAAGGUACGCAAGUGUCGGUUUGGAGAAGCAAUAACUCAGCUUUUUCCCUUAAUCUUUACAUGUGUUAUAACAUUUUACACUAUUAUUCUCUUUAUGAAAGCUUAUAAAUAUAAUAAGUCUUCCGUACAACAUGAAAAAGGCUACAUCAUACAAUGAUCACGUGCUUCUUUCUUCAAAAUUUACAAGUGGGGUCAGGGUGAAUUGGAUUAUGAUUCAAUUACGCCUGUAAAAUUUCUUCUUUAAGAACACUUGAAAGGUACAUAUGGAGAUAGGACAGGCCUUGGUUACUAGCAGCCAUGGUGCAAAAAGAUGAAACAUUUCAUUCAAAGAAAGAGAAAGUAAUGAAUAUAGAGUUGAUAUAGCUGCUUCCACCCCAUCAAAGUCCUUUUGUCCCAUGCCUCCUCGUUCGAUUUGAAUCUUUAGUGAAUCUUGUCCUAUGUCACUGUGCAAGGCAUGGAACAAGAUGGAGUGCAGACCCCUCUAAAUUUAGACACAGUAUAAUAUACUUUUCUUUUCCUAAUUGAGUCUCUUUGAAUGUUAUACUCAUACCGCUGAGUUCAUUUGGAACCUUAAGAAAAACCAUUUCCACAUUUUCUUUUUUAGGUGCUCUAUCCAUGAUGCUUACCACCCAUAAAUAUAAUCCUUCUGUCACCUUGUUGAAUUUGUAUCAUUAGUACUCCAUUUCAACUCUCCAUCAAAUCUUUUUUUCGUGUGGAUUUUCAACACUUCAUCAAUUGGAUUUGACCCUUGAAGGGGAAAUUGCAGCUAACAUUUAUGUAUGCUAAAUUUUGGAACAUUCAAACCGUAAAAUCAAAGCAAAACUAGAUAGAAUCAAGCUUGAUCUUUGAAUUUUUGGGAUUCAUUGAUCACAAGUUGUUAAUAUAAACGCUCUGCAAGAGUAAGGGAAGGAAAAGGAAAAUGAUGGCUAGUUGGAGAAAGGGUGAAAAGAAAAUUGAUUGGACCUAACUCCAUUAUCAUUCCAGACCCUCAUAUUUUUUUCUCCUCUGCAUUCAUGGAGAUUGAAAUCUACAAGGUUUCUGUCAAAGAAACCAAGAUUUUUUCCCCCAGUGUACUGAGAAACAGUUGAAUCAGAACAAAGAGUAGAGUAACAUGAGUUGGAUUCAUGGGCAGUAGGCAUAUUCUUGAUGAUUAAGCAUGUAACAUCAUUGACAGACAUUUUUUUGCCUUACAUUCAUCCCGAUUCUUUCCUAGAAGCUAUCCAGCUUUUUCAUGGGGAAAUUCCAUCUGCUAACUAUUGCAGGAAUACAAUGUUGAAAGACCUUUUUUCAGCUUUUUCAAUUUUUUUCGGCCGUAGAUUUUAUUCAUGCCAAUGAGAAGGAGGACCUUAUGACAAGGUUUUCAUCCAAUAAUUUCACCGACAGACAUGCUUCUCUGCUUCAAGUACCUGCAACUGCAACCAGUCUUAUCCUACCUUAGAUAAUUGAGUGCCCAAAAAAAUGCUCUUCGCCUAGAAAUUUUCAGCAUAUCCCUUGAUUUGGAACCACCUCUCAGAGCCUUGAGCAUCUAUCCAUACUUGUUUUUUUUUCCCUCCAGUGAUAAGAUGGCUGAUUGAGUUGGGGUAUGGAGAAGACGAUAACCCUUAAGUUAAAAAUGAAAAAAAAUAAAAAAAUGGAAAAAAAGUUACUCGCAUGAUUAAUUUAUGUUACUUCAUCUUGCUCACGUUUUUCAUCCAUUGCACGGAAUCCAUGCUUUAUUUGGCACAAUUAUUUGUACUACUUUAGGUUCUUCGACUUUUCAUUCAUUCACACUGUUAGAUAUCUUCAACUUUAAUUGAACUUUCUUGUGAAAUAAUUACUUGCGUUAGUGCAGGUAGUUGAUGACUUGAUGGUCUAUUCUCGCCUUUGUUUUCUUUUGUAUUAGCAGAUAGCUCUUUUCACUUUUGUCGUCCACUCAACUGCUAAAUACUACUAUGCUCAUCAAUAAUGUAAGCAGAAAAAUAAAGCACAGAGUGGUUUAGAUUCCCUUAAACUAAGAUUUAGCUUGGUUUUCAAACUAAUCAAACUUCAAUACUCCAAGCAGGCCUAUAUAGGCAUGCCCUUUGGACUUAAUAUCUCCAUGUGAACAGACUAAGUAACCAUCAUUUGUGUGUAUGAAACAAAAGCUUCUGCCACAACAUUAGACAUUACCGAUAAGGGCCCCCUUACAUAUGGUCCCUAGUCUUCUUCAUCUUCCAUGCAAGGAAGUGAUAUUAGACAAACCUAACAAACUACAACCCCAUUCCAUUCAUCUUUAUUGAAAGUAAACCCGGGUUCGAAUCCAAAUCACCAUUAGUUGUAAGGUGACUGUGUUUUGUAGUGUUGGAGAAUGAUUAGUUUUAAGCAGUAGCUUGAUCAGCCCGCAAAAGGUUUUAUGCCAUUGUAGAAUGAGGAAUCCAGACGAAGCUGAUCCAUCGUUUUCAUGAAGAUUGUGCCAAUAGCACUAAAUGAGUGCUAGUUAACAAUCUCGCUUUUGGAGAUUUUUCAUACUUCAGCUAGUUAACAAUAUGAAGAAAAAAUAGAGUAGAGCGACAAGAAAUUGGGAAGAGGACAGAUGAUGUUUAGGUAAAAGAGAAAGGAACUUGGUAUGAAGAGGGAUGUUUAGAUGUUUGUGAGGUGGGAUUGUGAGCUUCUGGACUAAAACAAAAUGUGCACGUGAGAAUGGUAAAUUGUAAACAACUGCUGGGAUUUUUAAUACACUUGAUUUACUAAAUAAAAUUGGGAUGUGGGGAUGAGCCAAAAGGAUUGGUGACAAUGAAAUCUAAUGCGAAAAAUACGUUGGCUCAUCAUAUUUUCGAAGAUUCUCAAGCCUAUUUUCAUUCUCAUUUUGGGAGCGUAGAGUCCACUGCCUGUUUUCAAUGGUUUAGGCCAACCAAUUAACAUCCUAUAAAUAGGAAAUGUAGUUUACACAAAAGUUGGAGAAAAAGGCGUUGAGCCAUUGCAGAAGCCUCUCCCCAAUUAUCUGCCGCCUCCAAACCCCACCCCCUCCACCACUACCACCACCACCACCACCACCAAACACCACCUAGGUCCGCCACCCACUAUCCCCCAUGUGGAUGGGAAUAAAACAAAAGAAGCAACAUUUCCAUUUCCAAUUUCCAAGAGGCUUCCCAUUGAAAAUGAUACCAAAAUUUGCCAGCUAACCUUGUAUUUCAGGCUUCAUUGAUACAGAGUUCAUUUCUGCACCUGGGCUUUGAGCUUUAGGCUCUUUGAUUGGAAGGGGUUGUGAAGCUUCCGGGGGUUUGGGUCCGCUACUGGCCAUGGCGGACAUAGUUAAGCAAAUCUUGACGAGGCCGAUACAAUUGGCAGAGCAGGUGUCUAAGGCGGCAGAAGGGGCCAACUCGUUUAAACAGGAUUGCUUGGAGCUUAAGUCCAAGACCGAUAAGUUGGCGGUCCUCCUCCGCCAGGCUGCGCGUGCUAGCUCGUAUGAGCGCCCCAUGCGCCGCAUCAUUGAGGAUACUGAGCAGGUCCUGGAUAAGGCGCUUGCGCUGGUGAUAAAGUGUCGUGCCAAUGGCCUCAUGAAGCGGGUGUUCACCAUCAUUCCUGCAGCUGCAUUCCGGAAAACAUCACUGCAGCUGGAGAAUUCGAUUGGUGACGUGUCCUGGCUGCUCCGCGUGUCGGCAUCUGCCGAUGAUCGCGAUGAUGAGUACCUGGGUCUCCCUCCAAUCGCUGCCAAUGAGCCCAUUCUAUGCCUGAUAUGGGAACAGAUUGCUAUUCUUCACACGGGUUCACUUGAGGAUAGGUCUGAUGCUGCUGUGUCUCUGGUCUCCUUGGCCCGCGACAAUGAUCGGUAUGGAAAGCUCAUUAUUGAGGAAGGAGGGGUUCCACCCCUUCUAAAACUGGCCAAGGAGGGAAAGAUGGAAGGUCAGGAGAGUGCUGCAAAGGCUCUUGGUCUUCUAGGACGCGACCCGGAAAGCGUAGAACACAUUGUGAAUGCAGGUGUGUGCUCAGUGUUUGCGAAAAUCCUCAAAGAAGGUAGGAUGAAGGUUCAGGCGGUGGUGGCUUGGGCUGUCUCAGAAUUGGCUGCCCAUCACCCCAAAUGCCAGGAUCACUUCGCACAAAACAAUAUAAUCCGGUUGCUUGUUAGCCAUCUAGCAUUCGAGACUGUUCAAGAACACAGCAAAUAUGCCAUUGCCAGCAAACAGACGAUGUCGAUUCAUUCAGUUGUGAUGGCAAGUAAUAACCCCAAUCCCAAUCCUAAUCCCAACUGUAACAAGGGAAAUGAAGAUGAGGUCACCGCCCACAUCCCUCAUCCAACUGGAAACCAAAACCCGAGCCAGAUGCAAAAUGUGGUUACUAACACCAUGGCAAUGAGAUCAGUAUCCAAACCGCCGCCUAUGCCACAGCAACCGCAGGGGCAAAACCAUGCAAUGAACAACAACCCAAACCAAGCCAAGGCAAACAACAGCAACCCGAAGUCGAACAACCAUCAUCAGCAACAUGCUUUAGCUGGGACAAGCAUCAAGGGGAGGGAGUUUGAGGAUCCAGCCACCAAGGCUGAAAUGAAGGCAAUGGCAGCAAGAGCCCUGUGGCACCUCUGUGAGGGAAAUGCCCCUAUAUGCCAUAUAAUCACUGAAUCAAAAGCACUUCUAUGCUUUGCAGUUUUACUAGAGAAGGGCCAUGAUGAUGUUCAGUUCAAUUCAGCCAUGGCAUUGAUGGAAAUCACAGCAGUUGCUGAGCAAAACUCUGACCUGAGGCGCUCUGCCUUCAAGCCCACCUCCCCAGCUGCAAGAGCUGUGGUUGAGCAGCUACUAAAAAUAAUUGAAAAGGCAGACUCGGAUCUUCUCAUCCCCUGCAUCAAAUCCGUUGGGAAUUUGGCCAGGACUUUCAGGGCAACUGAAACCAGAAUCAUUGGACCAUUAGUGAGACUUCUGGACGAAAGAGAACCAGAGGUUUCAAAGGAGGCAGCCAUUGCACUCAUUAAGUUUGCCAGCACUGAGAAUUAUCUCCACCUCAAUCACUCCAAAGCAAUCAUACAAGCAGCUGGGAUUAAGCAUCUGAUUCAGCUGGUCUACUUUGGGGAACAAAUGGUUCAGUUUCCUGCACUGAUCCUCCUAUGCUAUGUUGCCAUGCAUGUCCCUGACAGUGAGGUACUGGCAGAGGAAAAGAUCCGAAUAGUUCUGGAGUGGGCAUCAAAGCAGGGGAGUAUGAUGCAGGAUCCAGAGAUUGAGACACUGAUAAACGAAGCCAAAAGCAGGCUCGAACUCUAUCAAGCCAGCUCUUCAAGAGGACACCCCUGAUUCCAUCCGUCUGUACAAUAUGUCAAUAUUUCCAGGAGGAAUCUCAAAACAAAAUUUUCCCUUUUCUUUUCUUUGCUUCUCUUUUCUUUUCUUUUCCUUUGUUUAAUCUCCCACUAGACUGUAUAUAAAGUUAGCUUUGCAAAUUGUUUAGACAAUAAUCUAAAUCCCUUUCUUUUUCCGGUUUUCAGUGGCCUUUUCCUGUUGCUUUCCAGCAUAUUUCUUUGCUCUAGAAGUUGUAUUUCAUCCUUAUUCCGCAGUUUGCACUAUUGCUGCUCUGGGGUUGAUCAGAGAGCUUGUUUGGAUGAUGAGAAAAGUGUUGAAAUUAAGUACCUAGCCAUGAAUCUUCAAGUUACACAGUAAGUGUCAUGAUUUUUCAAACUGUGAUUAAGUUAAUGUAUCACUCCAAAAUGUUUCGUCGCACGAAUCUUCUGAACGGACAGUGCUAAAACACAUGCAUGUAUGCAUUAGUACGUAUAACAAAGAAAAAGGUGGCGUCCCAUCCAUGUCACCUCAAAAUAAAUUGACCAUCAUCAUCUGUGCAUCAUCUUUACGUUUCCAACUUGCUAUCCGGAUCCGCAUAAAUAACAUUUUAGAAAAAUAAUUUGGACACGUAGGAAAAUUAUUCCUCCAUUUCUCUGCACAAUGGAGCGUACAAUGCUUCGGUGUUCCCUGGGCAUUGGCUCUGGGUCAUUCCUACUAGGGUUAGGUCGAGGACGAAGAAGGCCGACCCAAGCCAUCAAUGAGAUACCCCUCUAGGAUAUUAUAGGAUAGUCUUGGUAAACGUUUCAUACAGGGCAAAGACCCUCUAAAAUAAGAGAGACGAGAAAUCAAAAUGGUAUAGAUGUGUUUCGGGAGGCCCAUUUAAAGGUAAUAUGCAAAUCCAACCCACAAAAAUGGGGCUUUGUCGACCAAAUUAUUAUUCUUUCUAUGCACUAUAUACUAUUUCGAUGAGCUAUUCCAAAUUUGCUCUUUAGUUUUUCCUGUGAGCAGCACCGUAUUUAGUAAAUAUUUAAAUAUGAACCGGUCUCCAUGUUAACAGGUCGAGCGAUCGUUGGUGCACCAGAUUGUUAUCUCGUUUGUUUGUUAGGGUGAGAAUGAGACUAAAAUGACUUUCCUUCAUAUUUUCCUUUCCUGCUUAAUUUUUUUUUUUUUUGGACUUUUUUAGGUUUUUGAUACGGACGCUGAACUGGCCUAAGAGGAAGACAUUUUUGAUAUGAAAUAACACCUCACACCAAAGUGCAUGAAAAGGAAAAAAAUUUCAAAUAAUGGACAUAUCUUGGUUAUGCAAACUUAGGUUUUAAAAAUAAUAUUAUUAACAAAUGGGCCUCCGAAAACACAACUUUCCCAAUCGAAAUGUUACUAAGAGUCCACAUUUUAUGAAAGAAGAGGGAAGGUAAUAAUGAUUGAAAUAGACAACGUAAGGCAAAGGAGCACUUACGAAACAUAUUGAAAAAGAUGUGUACCUUAGCAGGACUCUUAUCUGCAAGUAUCGGGGCUAAAUUAGUUCACUCGAACUAAUUUUGUAAGUAUAGUUUAUGAGGUAGCAUUUAUCAUACUGCAGGUCCAGGUCUUUUUUGAUCCAAUGUACUUUUCUGCUGCGACGGAGAAAUGCUAAACCCUAGUUAGGAGUGAAGUUGUAGUCGGUGGGGUAAUAGAAAAAGGAGAUUGGUAAUAAUGAAGGGUUAAAAGAGUCGAGAACAGCCCUAUCCGGAUUCAGGAAACAGUGCACACUCAUUAGGAACUGUGAAUUAGUUGACUCCUAGGUUAUUGGGCCCAAAUAUGGAAAUGAAAAUUGAUAUGUGGGUCCUGGCCCACGAUGGAAUUCCACUCAAAGCUCAUCAUCUCUGGCAAAGAGAACGAUGGUGUCGGUCCUCCCCUACCUUGGAAUAUCACUCAGAAUUCAUAGGGCUCUGUGACCACUGUAACUGAAAGAACCAUGGAAUCUUUUGGGAACAGCAGGGAGGGCAAGGACAUCGUGUCUUGGGCCUUUGGUGGGGAACAUUUCAAAUUCUGAAUCCAUGUUUGAGGCCCACUGAAAGAGCCCAAGAAGGGUACAAGCCCAGCAAUGAGCCUGCUAGGUAAAUUAGUGGGCCUUUAGGGGGUUUUUAAGUGGUGUACAACAUGUUGAAAACAGACCAGAUGCCCAUGAUACAUGGGACCUUAAUGAAUGGGCCUAGCCUAGUCCAAUUACCCAAAUCUUAGUGGGUAUAACCUUGUUUGUACAUUCAAUACAAAUAUCUUAUAGUUAUUGUUGUAAAUCUAAUGAACUCGAUGAAACUAUACUAAGCUUGAGGGGAGGGCUUAGCAUGAAAAGUGAUUAUGAUACUGCACUAAUACCAUAAUAUGGCAGAUGUGCAUUAGAUGCUCAAGGGGUCACCAAUCCUAUUAACCAUAUUAAACUUUAGGAUAACAAACCCCUUGAGGGCCUUCUCAUGGAGGAUAUCAUUAGUAAACAAUGUCAAGGUGAUCCCUGGUAUGGAACAAAAGGUCAUAGGCUCUAAAAUCCUUCCUUGCAUUAAGUUAGGGACCUUGUUGAGGUAUGUUCGAAUUACCCAAUAAGGCCUCUCUUCAUAAUUAUGGGUUCAUGUACCUCUAAUUGUGCUUUGAUCACUUAGAAUUUUUGAAAUCCCUUUCCCUCUCAUGUUGUUCAUUUUCUUACAAGUAACUUCUCUUGGAUGGUUCUGAAAUAAGUUACCAACUAACAUAAUCUACUCACCUUUCGAGUCAUGUAUUUUCUUAGUCUAAUGUCUCGUUUCAUUUCUCUAACUCUUUUAUUCUCAACAAGGUUUCCUUAUUUUCUUCACUCAUCAUCUUUUUGUUGUAAUUUUCUUCUCUUGAUGUUGUAUCGAAGAAGGAAAGUCCUCGUAUAAUAGCUUGCUACUUGUGCAAGGGAGCACUAUGACCAUUGUUUUAGGUUUUUCUAUGGUUCCCAUAAACAGUGCCAAUCUAUUAUGCCCUCUUCAAAAAAUAGUAGGUCUAUUCAGAAAUGUGACCUUUUUUGUGAUAUAAAAGGAGUCUAAUUAAAGUAAAGAGGUUGGUGUGGCUAACCAUUUUCCAAUAAUUAAAGCAGUGAUGAGCAAAUAAUAAGAUAAUGAACAAAUAAAAAUAGUGCAAGAAGGGGUAAAAACUAAGAUCAUUUUUGUUUGCUCCAAUCUUAUGGUUGUAUAGUUGUUAGUUUUGGUUAGUUUGGUAAGUUUGACCAUAUUGGUUGUUGAACGACACAUGUUAUCCUAUACCUUGUUACUAUAUCAUCAAGUAAUAAUUACAAAACCCUUGAUUUGAGGGGUAAGGGGCCAUGCAUGUUGUAAUUAUAAAGGUGAGGACAAUUUCAUUUAAAUGUGAUCUUUGUCCAUUGUCUUCCUUCUCUGUAUUGCCUAAUCGCAUUUAAAGUUUGUCUUGUUGCAUUUGAUGUUAUGACUAUUGGUCUAGACAUCACUUUUGGAGGGGAUAGUAGCCUCACAUGCAUCACUGUCAAAUAGUCCAAUCCCAAUUCGACCCACUCCUCUUAGUAUGACAUGUGUCCCUUGGUUCGAGCGACCUUAUAUAGAGCAAAAAGUAGUCGUCUUGUGUAUGUUUUACAUUUAGUUCAACUACUUUGUACAUGGUGUGCACAUACAAAUAAGUUGAACAUAACACUUAAGCACACAUAUGAAUAAUAUCUUAAACCAUAAAGAUAUCUUUGACAUGCAAUAAAAAUUUAAAUAAAAUAGAGGUAUAGUCAUAUUUCAUACAAUUCAUUGGACCAGUAUGAGCUUGCACCAAGAAAACAAUGUCUUGAAUAUAUUAUUUGUAAUGUUUUGACCUUGUACAAGUAUCAUAAUUAUCGUGUAUAUGAUUUUUAGAUGCAUAAAAGGUAUUUUAAUACACAAUAAAUGUGCAAUGUGUUCACUAACAUCCCACGAAAUAUUAUUAUUAUUGUUAUUAUUGUUGUUAUUAUCGUCAUUGUAUGUUUACCAAAGACACUAUUUAUAUAAUGCAAUUGCAUGCAUAUUAAUAUAAAUAUUAUUCAUAAAAUUUUAAUAAGAAAUAAUCAUUUAUAAUAAUAUUUCAAAUAAUAAUAAUAAUAAUAAUAAUAAUAAAUAAUAAAUAAAAUUAAAAAUACUCAUAUGUAUAAUACAUAGAUGUGGGAUAUCCUAGUAAAUAAGAAAAAAGUUCAAUAAUAAUAAUAAGUAAAUUGAAAAGAAAAUUAAUGAUAAAAGAAGUAGUAGGUUGGGGCAUUUUUGUUGGCAGGUUAUGUAGUGAAAGAGAUGGGGUUGAGGCUUUAGGUCUAAUGGCUACACUUUCUAAGCUAAUCAUAGGGCAAUUACAGGUACCCAUCAAGUUUGUCCCUAGGGCAAUUAUGGGUACCAUCAAGUUUGUCUCCAGGGCAAUUGUUGGUACCACCAAGUUUGUCUCAUUAACCACUGUGGGACAUUAUUGACUUGUGAGAAAUGUUGGAUUUUAAUUGAAUAUUAAAUAGAAUUAAAAAAAAAAAAACUAAGUUGGGUUUAUUUUAAAAUUAAAAACUUAUAUAUGCAUAAAAGUAGAACUGUAGAAAAUCUUAUAUAAAAAAAUUAAUGUAAUUUAUAUCUUUAAAAAUUUUAAAAUUUUAGAUAAUAUCCUAAUUUUUAAAAUGAUUAUUUUUUUAGUUUAGUAAAUUAUUAUUUGAAAAUGAUAAAAGGUGUUACUCUAUGUGGCAAGGUUUUUUAAAAAUAAUUUUUUAGAAAAGUUUUUAAAGAUAAUUUUAUAAUAGUUUUUGGAAUAAAAUCUAUUUGGAAUAUUGAAAUAUUUUUUAAUUUUUUUUAAAAUAAAUUAUUUAUAGUAUUUUAUUUUCAAUAAUUCAAUUAUUAUUUUUUGAAACAAGUGACCUUCUAAUGUUUUAUCUAAAGAAAAAUCAAUUUUCCUUUUGUUGAAAGUUUGAAAAUAUUUUCAUAUUUCUAAUUUUAAGAGUGGGAAAUAAAAAUAAAAAUAAUUACCUAGGGCCUAUUUGGAAUUGUUUUAUGUUAUCUAGAAUAAAUAAUAAAGAAAAUUCGUUUAACAAUAAAAAACUGUUUUAUAUUUUCUAGUCUUAAAAUAAAAAAUAUGAUGUUUUCAGAUAACAUAUUUUAGUUGAUUUUUAUUAUUUUCACUUGUUUUUUUAUAGUUAUUUUAAGAAAUGAUUAUAUAAACAUAUAGAAUGAUUAAAAAUAAAACAUUAGAUUUAAAAAUUAUUUUUAAAAAUAUUUUAAGUUUUCAAAUAGACUUUAGUUUUACAAAUCUCACAUAACAACUUUCAAAAAUUGUUCUAAAAAAAUUAUUUUUUAUAAUUAUUUUCAAAAACCUUUACCUAACGAACCCGUAUACUCUACAACUUGUUCGAUGAGCGUUGUUUUUUGUUUUUUUUAUUCUUUUUAUUUAUAAUUUUAAGUCCUUUUCUCAAAUGAUAGGUUACAUUAAUUUCCAUUUUAACCUUUGACCAAAUUCAAAUAUUUAAAAAAUGAAGCGUAUAACUUAAUUCCUUAUUACAUAAGGAACCAUUUUCCUUGAAGAGAAAAAAUAACAUCUCAAAGAAGUUUUCUUUAUAAUACAAAAAAAAAAAAAAAAAUCUAAUAAUUAUCAUUAUCAUAGCUUCCAUCAACCCUUUACAAAAGUGUCAUUGCACCACUCCAUUUGCCAUCAUUUUGGGAUUUAAGAAAUAAAAAAGAAAAAGAAAAAAUAGAUAUUAGGGUUUUAGCAUUAAAAAAUGUAUUUAUUAUAGUAAUUUUUUAAAUAAAUAAAUAAAUAAUGGAUUUUUAUUAAUUUGUCUAUAUUCUUAAUGAUAAUUUUAUAUAGGAAUAAUUUAAUAAAAAUAUAAAUUAAGAAAAUAGAAAGCGAAAUGUUAGAGGGACUUAUUAAUACAAAUAUCCAAAUAAGUUAUUAGCAAAACUAGCUGAUGGCAUUGGACAGAAAUCCAAACGGUCAAAAAAUUAUGAAAUUGGACAAAAUAAUUUAGAUUUAAAAUUAUAAUAAAUAAUAUUUUUUUUUUUGGGUGGUGAUAAAUAAAUAAAUAAAUAAAUAAAUUUAUAAAAAAUAAUAUUGCCUUGAUUUGUAGAAGCCUUGGUUUCUUUUUGUUGGAAGGACAAGACACAUUGAUGAGUCCCAUCCCACACAUCCUUUGACUGUCAUUUGACCAUUUGACUACUUCCACCAAUCAUCUUUUUUUUCCCACUUUUAUUUUUAAAAAUCAUUUUGUUUACUUUUUUUGAAGUUUUUCCAAUAUUUAAAUUAAAAUAUUCAAAAAGUUGUUCACUAAAAGGGCAGUCCUUUUCACCGGAAAGUUGCUAAGUCUAUUGGUUAAAAGAGCCCCCACCCCCUCCAAUUACUCCACGUGUUCAAACUAGGGCUGAUAUGGUAAUUUCACACUAUGUAUUCGUUUCCCUAUUCCAAAACUGCCCUUGGUUUGGCUGGGAGCGGGUGAAAACGGUACACAUUCCCAAACCUGUGUCUCCAAUCCGACGGUAUGUAUUCGUCGUCUGAUGAAUCCCCAGCCGUCGGAUGCUAGGAGGAUAAGCCAACCGUCUUUUGGACAAAAGCGGGACCCAGAAAAACAC